rnacentral:rRNA from 1 species
ACUACGGGUGGCAGCAGUGAGGAAUAUUGGUCAAUGGACGAGAGUCUGAACCAGCCAAGUAGCGUGAAGGAUGACUGCCCUAUGGGUUGUAAACUUCUUUUAUAUGGGAAUAAAAUGUUCCACGUGUGGGAUUUUGUAUGUACCAUAUGAAUAAGGAUCGGCUAACUCCGUGCCAGCAGCCGCGGUAAUACGGAGGUUCCGAGCUUUAUCCGGAUUUAUUGGGGUUAAAGGUUUCGGAGGCGGAGGUGCAAGUCGUCGGUCAAAUUGCGGGGAUAAACCCCGUACUGCCGUUGAAACUGCAUCCCUUGAGUGCGCGAGAAGUAUGCGGAAUGCGUGGUGUAGCGGUGAAAUGCAUAGAUAUCACGAAGAACUCCGAUUGCGAAGGCAGCAUACCGGCGCGCAACUGACGCUGAUGCACGAAAGCGUGGGUAUCGAACAGGAUUAGAUACCCUAGUAGUC